rnacentral:rRNA from 1 species
ACUCCUACGGGAGGCAGCAGUGGGGAAUCUUGGACAAUGGGGGCAAACCCUGAUCCAGCCAUGCCGCGUGAGUGAUGAAGGCCUUAGGGUCGUAAAGCUCUUUCGCCUGUGAUGAUAAUGACAGUAGCAGGUAAAGAAACCCCGGCUAACUCCGUGCCAGCAGCCGCGGUAAUACGGAGGGGUUAGCGUUGUUCGGAAUUACUGGGGCGUAAAGCGCGCGUAGGCGGAUUAGUCAGUUAGAGGUGAAAUCCCAGGGCUCAACCCUGGAACUGCCUUUAAUACUGCUAGUCUUGAGUUCGAGAGAGGUGAGUGGAAUUCCGAGUGUAGAGGUGAAAUUCGUAGAUAUUCGGAGGAACACCAGUGGCGAAGGCGGCUCACUGGCUCGAUACUGACGCUGAGGUGCGAAAGUGUGGGGAGCAAACAGGAUUAGAUACCCUGGUAGGAUAGCG